UACGUAGGGAGCAAGCGUUGUCCGGAUUCACUGGGUGUAAAGGGUGCGUAGGCGGGAAGGUAAGUCCGCGGUGAAAUCUCACAGCUCAACUGUGAAACUGCCGUUUGAUACUGCUUUUUUUCUUUGAGUCGGGGAGAGGUUGAUGGAAUUCCAGGUGUAGCGGUGAAAUGCGUAGAUAUCUGGAGGAACACCGGUGGCGAAGGCGGAUCUCUGGGCCUUACUGACGCUGAGGAGCGAAAGCGUGGGGAGCGAACAGG
rnacentral:rRNA from 1 species